UGAUGCGGUCAUACCAAGGCUACUACACCAGAUCCCAUCAGAACUCUGAAGUUAAGCGCCUUUGGGCCGGAAUGGUACUGGGAUGGGUGACCU
rnacentral:rRNA from 1 species